rnacentral:lncRNA from 1 species
GGCGGAUUCAGAGGGGGGCGUAGAGGGCGUACGCCCCCCCUUUGCUCGGACUUUUUUUUUUGGUUUUUUUUUUGUAAAAUUAUUUAUCAGACUAGACUUCGUGAACUUUGCCAUUUCCCGAGUAUUUGAUUUUUAUACGACAAUUCUUUACUUAUAAAGAUAUUUUUCGCUGGUUUUUACUGAUUUUCAAAGUCAUGUGAUUUGCUAUGGUGGAGUUGACCAGUGCGUUGAAAAAACGGCACACGGUCAUUUUGAAAUUCAAAUUACAGUAAUACACAUUGCUUAGGCUGAGGAUGUCAUGACAUCAGGAAACCUUCAAAGCGACAUAGGAUUGAGCAAGAACGUAUUGAC